GACGAACGCUGGCGGCGUGCUUAACACAUGCAAGUCGAACGGUGACGCGCCUUCCUGUUUGGCGGGUGUGGAUGAGUGGCGAACGGGUGAGUAACACGUCAGUAACCUGCCCCCUUCUUCUGGCUAACCGCAGGAAAGUGUGGCUAAUACGGGAUAUUCCGGGUCUGUCGCAUGAUGGGUCUGGGAAAGAUAUUGUUUCGGUAGGGGACGGGCUCGCGGCCUAUCAGCAUGUGGGCGGGGUGAUGGCCUACCAAGGCGGUGACGGGUAGCCGGCCCGGGGGGGUGGCCGGUCUCGCUGGGGAGGAGGCUCGGCCACGCCUGGAAUGAGACGCGGCACUGGGUACUAUGGCACGAAGCGGUGGAGACUGUUGCAGAGACGCCGCGUGAGGGAUGGAGCCCUGCGGGGUGUGAACCGCAGUCGUCAGGGAUGCAAAGCUGCCUCGUUUGUGGGUAUGUUGACGGUAGCUGGAUAAGAAGCGCCGGCUAACUACGUG
rnacentral:rRNA from 1 species